rnacentral:rRNA from 1 species
CAGUCGCCGCGGGAACACGUAGGGUGCAAGCGUUAAUCGGAAUUACUGGGCGUAAAGCGUGCGCAGGCGGUUAUAUAAGACAGAUGUGAAAUCCCCGGGCUCAACCUGGGAACUGCAUUUGUGACUGUAUAGCUAGAGUACGGCAGAGGGGGAUGGAAUUCCGCGUGUAGCAGUGAAAUGCGUAGAUAUGCGGAGGAACACCGAUGGCGAAGGCAAUCCCCUGGGCCUGUACUGACGCUCAUGCACGAAAGCGUGGGGAGCAAACAGGAUUAGAUACCCCAGUAGUCCCUGUCUCUUAUCC